GACGAACCGUGCAAACGUUAUUCGGAAUCACUGGGCUUAAAGGGCGCGUAGGCGGGCCGCCAGGUCCGGGGUGAAAGCCUCCAGCUCAACUGGAGAAGCGCCUUGGAUACCGGCGGCCUCGAGGGAGGUAGGGGCGUGCGGAACUUCGGGUGGAGCGGUGAAAUGCGUAGAUAUCCGAAGGAACACCGGUGGCGAAAGCGGCGCGCUGGAUCUCUUCUGACGCUGAGGCGCGAAAGCCAGGGGAGCAAACGGG
rnacentral:rRNA from 1 species